GAACGCUGGUCGCGCGCUUAAACAUGCAAGUCGAACGAGUGUAGCAAUACAUUCGUGGCGAACUGGCCCGUAACACGUGGACAAUCUUCCUUCUGGUGGGGAAUAACCCAGUGAAAAUUGGGCUAAUACCGCAUAACAUUGCGAGGCCGCAUGGUCUUGCAUUCAAAGGAGCAAUUCGCCGGAAGAGGGGUCCGCGGCCGAUUAGCUAGUUGGCGAGGUAACGGCUCACCAAGGCGAUGAUCGGUAGCCGGUCUGAGAGGAUGGCCGGCCACACUGGAACUGAGACACGGUCCAGACUCCUACGGGAGGCAGCAGUGGG
rnacentral:rRNA from 1 species